rnacentral:rRNA from 1 species
AUCAGACACGGUGCCAGCCGCCGCGGUAAUACGUAGGUGGCAAGCGUUGUCCGGAUUUAUUGGGCGUAAAGCGAGUGCAGGCGGCUCGAUAAGUCUGAUGUGAAAGCCUUCGGCUCAACCGGAGAAUUGCAUCAGAAACUGUCGAGCUUGAGUACAGAAGAGGAGAGUGGAACUCCAUGUGUAGCGGUAGAAAUGCGUAGAUAUAUGGAAGAACACCGGGUGGCGAAGGCGGCUCUCUGGUCUGUUACUGACGCUGAGGCUCGAAAGCAUGGGUANCGAACAGGAUUAGAUACCCUGGUAGUCCAUG